rnacentral:rRNA from 1 species
GUAGAUAAUCUGCCUGAUGAUCCGGGAUAACACUUCGAAAGAGGUGCUAAUACCGGAUAAGCCCACGGUAUCUUUGGAUUCUGCGGGAAAAGGGGGGGACCUUCGGGCCUUCUGUCAUCAGAUGAGUCUGCGUACCAUUAGCUAGUUGGUAGGGUAAUGGCCUACCAAGGCUACGAUGGUUAGCUGGUUUGAGAGAAUGAUCAGCCACACUGGAACUGAGACACGGCCCAGACUCCUACGGGAGGCAGCAGUGGGGAAUUUUGCGCAAUGGGCGAAAGCCUGACGCAGCAACGCCGCGUGAGUGAUGAAGGCUUUCGGGUCGUAAAGCUCUGUCGAGGGGAAAGAAGUGUAUUGUGGCUAAUAUCCACGAUACUUGACGGUACCCCUAAAGGAAGCACCGGCUAACUCCGUGCCAGCAGCCGCGGUAAUACGGGGGGUGCAAGCGUUGUUCGGAAUUAUUGGGCGUAAAGAGCGUGUAGGCGGUUUGUUAAGUCUGAUGUGAAAGCCCUGGGCUCAACCCAGGAAGUGCAUUGGAAACUGGCAGACUUGAAUACGGGAGAGGGUAGUGGAAUU